AUUGAACGCUGGCGGCAGGCCUAACACAUGCAAGUCGAGCGGAUGAAGGGAGCUUGCUCCUGGAUUCAGCGGCGGACGGGUGAGUAAUGCCUAGGAAUCUGCCUGGUAGUGGGGGAUAACGUCCGGAAACGGGCGCUAAUACCGCAUACGUCCUGAGGGAGAAAGUGGGGGAUCUUCGGACCUCACGCUAUCAGAUGGGCCUAGGUCGGAUUAGCUAGUUGGUGGGGUAAAGGCCUACCAAGGCGACGAUCCGUAACUGGUCUGAGAGGAUGAUCAGUCACACUGGAACUGAGACACGGUCCAGACUCCUACGGGAGGCAGCAGUGGGGAAUAUUGGACAAUGGGCGAAAGCCUGAUCCAGCCAUGCCGCGUGUGUGAAGAAGGUCUUCGGAUUGUAAAGCACUUUAAGUUGGGAGGAAGGGCAGUAAGUUAAUACCUUGCUGCUUUGACGUUACCAACAGAAUAAGCACCGGCUAACUUCGUG
rnacentral:rRNA from 1 species